rnacentral:rRNA from 1 species
UACGAGGGGGGCGUGCGUUAUUCAUACAAACUGGGCGUAAAGCGUCUUUAGGCGGGUUUUCGUGUGUUAACAUCUAAAAAUCCAGAACGUUAUUCUGGAAAGUUUGUUAAAACUGUUUACCUAGAGUUUGUGAGGGGUUAGUAGUAUUUCUCCAAGAGGGUUAAAAUUCUUAGAAAGGAGAGAGAGGACCGUCGGUGAAGACAACUAACCAGCACUAACUGACGCCAAAGGACUAAAGCAUAGGGAGCGAUAGGG